AUUGAACGCUGGCGGCAUGCCUAACACAUGCAAGUCGAACGGCAGCACGACCUAGCUUGCUAGGUUGGUGGCGAGUGGCGCGCGGGUGAGUAAUGCGUAGGAAUAUACCUUAAAGUGGGGGACAACCUGGGGAAACUCAGGCUAAUACCGCAUGAGCUCUAAGGAGGAAAGCUGGGGACCUUUCGGGGCCUGGCGCUUUAAGAAUAGCUUACGUCCGAUUAGUUAGUUGGUGGGGUAAAGGCUUACCAAGACGAUGAUCGGUAGCUGGUCUGAGAGGAUGAUCAGCCACACUGGGACUGAGACACGGCCCAGACUCCUACGGGAGGCAGCAGUGGGGAAUAUUGGACAAUGGGGGAAACCCUGAUCCAGCGAUGCCGCGUGUGUGAAGAAGGCCUGCGGGUUGUAAAGCACUUUCGGUGGGGAGGAGGACUUAUAGGUUAAGAGCUAAUGAGUUGGACGUUACCCAUAUAAGAAGCACCGGCUAACUCCGUGCCAGCCGCCGCGGUAA
rnacentral:rRNA from 1 species